rnacentral:rRNA from 1 species
AACGAACGCUGGCGGCAGGCCUAACACAUGCAAGUCGAGCGAGGACUUCGGUUCUAGCGGCGGACGGGUGAGUAACGCGUGGGAAUGUGCCCUUCUCUACGGAAUAGCCCUGGGAAACUGGGAGUAAUACCGUAUACGCCCUUUUGGGGAAAGAUUUAUCGGAGAAGGAUCAGCCCGCGUUGGAUUAGGUAGUUGGUGGGGUAAUGGCCUACCAAGCCGACGAUCCAUAGCUGGUUUGAGAGGAUGACCAGCCACACUGGGACUGAGACACGGCCCAGACUGCUACGGGAGGCAGCAGUGGGGAAUCUUAGACAAUGGGGGCAAACCUGAUCUAGCCGUGCCGCGUGAGUGAUGAAGGCCUUAGGGUUGUAAAGCUCUUUCAGCUGGGAAGAUAAUGACGGUACCAGCAGAAGAAGCCCCGGCUAACUCCGUG